AUUGAACGCUGGCGGCAGGCCUAACACAUGCAAGUCGAGCGGAUGAAGGGAGCUUGCUCCUGGAUUCAGCGGCGGACGGGUGAGUAAUGCCUAGGAAUCUGCCUGGUAGUGGGGGAUAACGUCCGGAAACGGGCGCUAAUACCGCAUACGUCCUGAGGGAGAAAGUGGGGGAUCUUCGGACCUCACGCUAUCAGAUGAGCCUAGGUCGGAUUAGCUAGUUGGUGGGGUAAAGGCCUACCAAGGCGACGAUCCGUAACUGGUCUGAGAGGAUGAUCAGUCACACUGGAACUGAGACACGGUCCAGACGCCUACGGGAGGCAGCAGUGGGGAAUAUUGGACAAUGGGCGAAAGCCUGAGCCAGCCAUGCCGCGUGUGUGAAGAAGGUCUUCGGAUUGUAAAGCACUUUAAGUUGGGAGGAAGGGCAGUAAGUUAAAACCUUGCUGUUUUGACGUUACCAACAGAAUAAGCACCGGCUAACUUCGU
rnacentral:rRNA from 1 species